CUCUUCCGUUCUGCUAUAUUCGCUGUUGAUAGUUUGCAGAUAUAAGCAUGUUCACGGGAACCGGUCCCGCAGGCUAUCUCGGCCGCAAAAUUUUGUGUCAGUACCCCUUUAA
rnacentral:lncRNA from 1 species